GAUCAAAGGGUUCUGAAGCUGCACUGGAGAAAGCUGAUUCCAAGAAGUUGAAGAUAUGGUUGGAGCAAUGAGCAUCUCAGUAUUGCGAAGUGUGUGGCAAAUGUUCUGGCUAUGCGAGAACUGGGAUGGCGAAGUUAGUGUCUGCAAUCAACUUGCUAAUAGCCUUAUGCAAUUGGAAGACAGGUUUGAUGAUUUCAUUCAAAAGUUGAAAGAAGCUGGUUGCAACUUGCUCUUAGUGUGAUUGAAGCACCCACUGGCAAUGAGGAAGAUAAUGACCUUGAAUUUGAAAACUUGUCCUCAAAUGGAUCAGAUAUGGUGGCAUUAUAACUUGUAGGCAUUAAUUAAAAUUGAAGGGAUGGGGGGCCAUAAAGGUUGAAGUUAAAAGGAAAAUAGAACUGGGUCCUAAUGCAUUUCCCCACCAGGUUCUUG